rnacentral:rRNA from 1 species
GACGAACGCUGGCGGCGUGCCUAAUACAUGCAAGUAGAACGCUGAAGGAGGAGCUUGCUUCUCUGGAUGAGUUGCGAACGGGUGAGUAACGCGUAGGUAACCUGCCUGGUAGCGGGGGAUAACUAUUGGAAACGAUAGCUAAUACCGCAUAAUAGCAGUUAUUGCAUGAUAACUGUUUGAAAGGUGCAAUUGCACCACUACCAGAUGGACCUGCGUUGUAUUAGCUAGUUGGUGGGGUAACGGCUCACCAAGGCGACGAUACAUAGCCGACCUGAGAGGGUGAUCGGCCACACUGGGACUGAGGCACGGCCCAGACUCCUACGGGAGGCAGCAGUAGGGAAUCUUCGGCAAUGGACGGAAGUCUGACCGAGCAACGCCGCGUGAGUGAAGAAGGUUUUCGGAUCGUAAAGCUCUGUUGUAAGAGAAGAACGAGUGUGAGAGUGGAAAGUUCACACUGUGACGGUAUCUUACCAGAAAGGGACGGCUAACUACGUG